UUCCACCCACGCUGCCCUGCCCCGAUCUCACAGAGUUAUGACCGCCUCGUUGCAGUCCGUUCCUAAGUUAGCUUCUCCUUUGCUGGGGUCUGAAGCCCAGACCACUCACUCUGGGAGAAAGCAACUGGCUAUGUCAUGAGGAAAUUGAAACCACCUAUGGAGAAAGGCCCACAUGGUGAGAAAGUAAAGCCUCUUCCCAAUACCAAGUGAGUGAGUUAUACUAAAAGGGGAUCCUCCAGCCCCAAUCAAGUUUUCAUAUGACUGCAGCCCCUGUCAGCAUCCUAACUGCAACCUCAUAAAAGACCGUAGCAAUGGCCGGGUGUGGUGGCUCAUGCCUGUAAUCCCAGCACUUUGAGAGGCUGAGGCAGGUGGGUCAGCUGAGGUCAGGAGUUCAAGAUUAGCCUAGCCAACAUGGUGAAAACCCAUCUCUACUGAAAAUACAAAACAUUAACUGGGUGCGGUGGCAUACGCCUGUAGUCCCAGCUACUCGGGAGGUUGAGGCAGGAGAAUCCCCUGAACCCAGGAGGCAGAGGUUGCAGUGAGCCGAGAUCAUGCCACUGUACUCCACCCUGGGUGACGGAGUGAGACUCUGUCUCAAAACAGAAAAGACCCUAGCAAGGACCCCUUAACCAAACUGCUCCCAAAGCCUUGGCCCACACAAGUGUGAGAUAAUAAUUUAUUUUUUUAGGCCACUAGGUUUUGGCAUUAUUUGUUUUACACCAAUAGAUAACUGAUAUAGGCUCAUCCUAUACAUAUUUUUGAUGAUCUUCUUUAAAGAAUGUUUUCUUAAUUUCAUAAAUAUUUAAUAUAAUUUCAAAAUAUUGUAUUCUCAACGAGAAAACUCAACAAAGAAAGAGACAGACAUAAAAUCACUGACAAUCCUCCCAUGCAGAGGUAAAUAAAGUUAACAUUUUAGAACCCUACAGUUUAGUCAGAUUAUACAGUAUUUAGUUUGUUGAAGUGCAUAUUCACAUGUGCAAAAAUAGUUUUAUUGAGUCUGUCUUAGCCCCAGACAGAGGCUAUGGGAACUGGACUUUCACAAAUAUAGAGAGCCCUAAUUUGAGCUUUUUAUCAAAUUAUAUAAUUAUGUAGAUCAUACGCUAAGCCUUUGUAGAAUUAUUAUGUUUCAUUAUUAUUUGGUUACAGUCCAGGCGAGGUGACUUCCAAGGUUACCCAGCUCUCUUAGAAAUAAUAAAAGAAGGCUCUAUCUUGGCAGAAAUUCAAAUUUAGAAAGCUCUUCCUGAUGUGUAAUCUGACUCCUUUCUGAUAUUAUUGAAGUCCAAAUUUGGAUGAGACUAGAUAUAAUAAUUUUCAAUACAUAUCUCUGGGAAAGAGUGACUUUUUCCUCCACCUUAGAAAUGAGUCUAAGAGGAGUACUUUUGUUUUUUGUGAAAAACUGGAUGCGUGACAUUCUCCACAGUAUUCGGUUAUUGGCUUCAUUGCUGUAACAAACAGAGCACCAAUAUUUAGAGUUUCAAACAAGCUAAACCUUACUUUCUCUCUUUUUAAAUUUUCCAGAGGUAGAUGUCUCAAUCUUUGUUGGGAAGUCUUCUCUAAUAUGUUCAACUAAAUAAUCAAAAUAUAUCUUUUUUUAGGAUUCAUCACCUUAAACAUCAUUUUUGUAAUUAUUUUAUGUGCUCUGUAUAUUAC
ensembl:lncRNA novel transcript, antisense to SLC38A11 and SCN3A